GACGAACGCUGGCGGCGUGCUUAACACAUGCAAGUCGAACGGUAAGGCCCUUCGGGGUACACGAGUGGCGAACGGGUGAGUAACACGUGGGUGAUCUGCCCUGCACUUCGGGAUAAGCCUGGGAAACUGGGUCUAAUACCGGAUAGGACCCUGGGAUGCAUGUCCUGGGGUGGAAAGCUUUUGCGGUGUGGGAUGGGCCCGCGGCCUAGCAGCUUGUUGGUGGGGUGAUGGCCUACCAAGGCGACGACGGGUAGCCGACCUGAGAGGGUGACCGGCCACACUGGGACUGAGAUAGGGCCCAGACUCCGACGGGAGGCAGCAGUGGGGAAUAUUGCACAAUGGGCGCAAGCCUGAUGCAGCGACGCCGCGUGAGGGAUGACGGCCUUCGGGUUGUAAACCUCUUUCAGCACCGACGAAGCGCAAGUGACGGUAGGUGCAGAAGAAGGACCGGCCAACUACGUGCCAGCAGCCGCAGUAA
rnacentral:rRNA from 1 species